CCCUUUAUGUGGUGUCGCAUAGACGCCCGACUAUGGCAUGCUUGUUAUUUCUUUUAUUUAUAAGCCCUUUAUGUGGUGUCGCUCAGACGCCCGACUGAGGCAUGAUUUAUCUUAUUAUCCUUCCGAGGUGUCGCUUCAGACACUCGAUCGGUGCAUUCUAUUUCCACUCCCGUAUUGCAUAUUCAUAAUUUAUAUGAACAACCUGCAUGCGUGCAUCAUGGAUUUUGUUUAUUUCGUGACUGACGUUAUGAUUAUAGAAUAUUUCGGAGCAUGAUUAUCCCUUGUUAUAUUAUACCCGUGUUCAUAAUGUUUGCGAGUACAUUCAAAAGUACUCACUAGCUUGUCCCUGGCUAUUUUCUUGGCUAGAUUUCGCGCAUGGAGAGGAGCGUUGCGAUGACAGCCCCGGAACCUACGCAAUGAUGAUAGCAGCCUCGCGAAGAUAGGAGUUAUCCUGGUCAGCUGUCCCUGUGGGAAAUGGAGUCCCAUAGACGCAGAUGAACCACAAACCGCUUCCGCCAACAACCACUAGAAACCAUUUGUUGUACUCAUAGGCCACAAGGGUCUUGUACUACAUAUUUUGUACUUUGCUUGGAAUUUUUGUAUCAAGUCGGUGCCUCAUCAGCUAACAGUAAUCCUGGGGCUGGUGAGCACAAGGCCAUUUUCUGGGAAACUAAUAUCCCGAAAAUCCGGUCCUGACAAACUUGGUAUCAGAGCCAGGCUGACCAUUGGCUAAUACUAUCUUAGCCAGGUCAAUAAACCUAUGUUAACCCACCCACCAGACCAUAACCCAACCCCGGCCAAGCUUCUCGUGUAAGAUAGCCACACAGUGACCCCGGCACCUUUUUGGCAGUCGGUGCCCAACCUAUCAACCUAGCCCGUCGAUCACGCGCCAGUGACCUUCGCCUAAAUAGUCUCUUUCGCAAGCGUGCGAAGGAAGACUCCGUCCCCUUUUUUAUAAAAGGGCACACUAGCCUCAACCCAGCCCAGCACGGCCUCUUCCCCAAACCGAGCUACGAUGCCUGGACCCAUCAUGCACAAUGAGACCACAGCAACCAACCUUGGAGGUUUUGUGACCGUGCUCGUAAACCUCACCCGCCGUUCCUAUGCAUUAGAAGAGCCCCCAGAGUAUGUUGUGUACCAAGGACCCAUGAGCGGUGAGAGCCAUCAAUUCUGGGCCACUGUACACAUCUAUGGUAGGGGUCUAUCGCCAGAACGCCCCUACAGGUUCACUGGAAGGACAACUUCCUUUGAGCCACAAGCCAUCCAGCUAGCAGCUCGAGAAGCUAUAGUUCAACUGCAGCACUUGUCGCCCAUAGUUAACUGUCGCUCGUUCUACUACUACCCCAGCCGUGAUGGGUAUGGUAGGCCGCCCCAGGUUGCCAACGAAGAUCACGAGACGGAUCCUGCAUUGUUGCAUGUUGUGCUCUAUGUAAGUGCACUAGAGGAACUGCUCGAUCAAAUCACCCUUGAUCUGAUCGCAGCUCGUGGAGAACUGGUUCGCUGAGCCCCGGCGAGAGGAGAAGAUGAGCCCGACGCCGACAACCCAGUCGUGCUGUUCGGACACCCGAUCGAGUCCUUGAGGUCUACCCCAGCCAUCGACCAAAAUGCUUUGGUGUCCCUAGAAGUGCUUCGUCGCCUUUUGGGAACACGCUCCAAUGGGACUGUGGCCAACAACCCCCGCGAUAGUCAUCAUCGCUACCCCGACCCUGCAGCCCCUCAACCUCAUCCAGCUAAUCCCGACGGUGAAACCCGUGAAGAAGCCUCGACGUCCACAAGGCACGCCCGCCUGGAUAUUAACGAAGUAGACUAAGUCGCUCGAGUAGUACCGAGCCUUAGUAUUUCUACGCCUUGUAAUUGUGUGAUCCUGUAUCGCCAUAAUUAAAUGCUGUCUGCUUGUGCGCCCCUAUUUUUAAAUAGUAACCAUGCAUAAGUACGUUAACGUAUAGUUGCAUUUUUAAAUUCCGGGCGUAGCUACCAAAAACCAACCCCGACGACACCCACAGUAAUACGUCACAUUUAUGAGAUAUGUGUAUCUGUGGCAUUGACCCCGACCCCAAAAGCAGAACCGACAAACUAGUUACCUUUCACCACGGUAAAUAACCCAGCCCCAAUGCUAUAUAAAAGGCCACCUCGUGACCUUGCCAAGUACCCCUCACCUUGUGCACAACACUCACAGCCUUUUCCUUGCCAUGCCGACCCCCAGUAUUUAUCUGAGAACUCCAGACGCAACCCCGGGUAGUUUUGUUAAAAUAUUGUGGGACUUUACCUGCAGUACCAUGAGUGCUAUCCAUCCACAACAGUACGAGUUGCUCAAAUCAAGGAUCACCCCAUCCACCUCGAAAUAUUGGGCAGUGGUGCACAUCCCUCCCGUAAACCCAAACCAAGACCCAAAGGAAGUCUCUUUCGUGGGGAAAUCCAUGCCGACUCCGCAUAUGGCCAUAGAAGCUGCUGCAUACGAAGCGCUUGCUCGUCUUCGAUUCGUGGUACCCUAUGCCAGCGAACGAGGAUAUUAUUACUUUCCGAGUCGUGCAGCACCCGGAGAAGUAGCAUCUUUUCCCGGUGGACGAAUCGAAAGAGACCCAGUACUGGCCAACCUUGCCCAGUAUAUUAUCGCUCAAGAGCGUUUGACUCGGCGGGUAAUGGGUUAUCUCCAGAGCCUCGCUGAUUUAAAUCCUCAGAUCGCUAUUGGCAGACCACUGAGACCCGACCAGGAGAGACGCAUUCAUCGGCUAGUCAAUCCGCUUCCCCCGAUAGAAGAGGAGUGUGCCCCAGUACCAGAGACGUUUUCUCAGGACCCUGUCCAUUUACCGUUUUUAUUGUAGAUGUCACCGCUAUGUUUAUUAUCCCAGCAGUUAUUUAUGUGUUGCAACUUGUGCAUGGUAUCCUAAAUUUGUGCGACGGAUCAAAUAUUUGGUUUCAAUUGUGUGAGCAGUUUUACUGCUGUUAUUUUUGGCUCGCAAUAAAUUUGUAAGUGAGAUUUCUUUCCCCGAGUUGCUGCAGCGUAUACCUCUUCACGACAUAGAUUUUUUUAUUCACGCAGCACCAUAACAGCAGACUCACAACCACAACCACUCGACCACGUGCGCUACUUACAAAUCCUUGUGCACAUUUUGCACCUUACUGAUCACACCCGAGCACACCACAGUCUCAGUAGGAGAUAUUUGUGAGUAAUUAUUCGGGUGCAAGUGGCCUCCAGCACAAUGACAGUAGUUAGCACUCGAGGCCGCACUUAAUCCUCGUGAUCACCGCCACCGCGAAGAGCUAACACUCGAGCGGCAGCAUCACGACAAUCAUCAAGGAUCAUCGCGCACAGGAGCACGGAGAACCCCAGCAAUGCCGCGAAUCCUCCGCACACCAGGAUCAAGUACCAGUCCGGCAUCACCUCCGCCAUUAGAGCCUCGUCUCGAGCUCCUACAAACAGAAAUGGAGGAGAAUGAAGGAGAAGAAGAAGCGAGGCCAGGUGUGAGGUAGGAGAAAGGAGCACCGCGGUCAUUUUAUAGCUCGAGAUCGGUGUACGGUGGGCGAGGUCCACCAGCGCCGCUCCUCGCUCGAUCGCCGGUGUUCGGAGGUGAAUCCGCGAGCAGUGCCGAUAGUGCACUGGCCCGCGGGGUGAGUGCACGCUGCACCGGCAGCUAGCACGCCGCGCACUACCGCAGUACAACCUACAUGCCCUACGUGCUAAACGUCGCCGGUGGAGAAAAGCGCGGGAGAGCACGCGAGAGAGAGAUAGAAGAGAGAGCCAGAGGUAGAAGAAGAGACUGACAGUGGGCCCCGGGUCCACCUGUCAGCCAGAGAGAGCACUGUGCUCUCGGGUACGACCAGCGUAUUUUAGUAAUUUAGAAUUUCUAUUCUAAAAUUACUGUAACCAAAGUGGAAAUAUCUCGUUUUUCCCGAACCAUGGAUUUUUCCACGCAAUGCCAGUAUACCACACUGUAGUUUUACACCACUUAUUGCCCUCUCAUUGUAGCCACAUUUUAUUGCAUAAGCAGGAUGAUUUUUUUUGUAAGAGCGAUGUUUGUUCAAAACAGCUUUUAACAAAUCUCGAGGACGAGAUUUUUCUUAAGGGGGGUAGUGUUGUAACACCCCAAAAUUUUGACCUUGUUUUAUUAAUUAAAAUUUUGCCAGGAAAUUAAAUUUUUAUUUUCUGGAUUUAUCUUUUGAUUUAAGAACCUCUCUUUUCUUUAAUAUUGUGGAGUUUUUACCCCGCGUGAAAACUUUCCAAAAAAAUAUUAUUGGACUUGUAUACUCUCUCAAUAAAACAAUUCUUUAUGAGUGGAUUUAUUUGCACAAUUGUGUUACCUGAGCUUUAUUUCUCUAAAAUGGGUUUUCAUAAGUUUUAGGGUCCCAUUUGCACUGCAACCCUCUCAAAUACUUCUUUAAAAUUCCCACCAAAAUUUGGAGAUGUCAUGUGAUGUUCCUAGAUCACUUUUGUGCAAAAAUAUCCUUUAGUCAGUUGGAGAUUUUGAGCUUUACCCCUAGUUUUCAAAUCUGGUCCAGAUUUCACUUUUACCCUACAACCUAUUUAAAUAUUCUUUUAAAACUUCCACCAAAAUUAGGGGAGGUCAGUAGGAGUAUAUUAUUCACCUUUCUGCAAAAACCCACUAAUGUCCUUUGGAAAAUUUGAGCAAAUCAUCCUCUUUUGCUCUCUGGUCCAGUUUGGUACUUUCUACUGCAACCCCAUUUUAUUUUGCUCUGUGGCCCAUGAUUCCUUUUCCUGCUUAUAGUCCUCUCUACCAAACCCUUAAGUCCAGGAGAAUGGACCCCUUUGGAGUAUUGUUGGUUCAUGAGAUAAUAACCUUUAGUUUCUGCCCAAAAUUGGUUUUCUCAAAUACUUGCACUAACAGGUUUCUGGUCUUGACCAAUUAACCUUGCCAUCAUCACCUACACCUAAAGAGACUAGGAUCUGGAGAUUUUGGCCACCCCAAGAGUUGCCUAGAUGCCCAUGGCAUUCUGUCGAGCACCUUGUGUUCAUGCACAGCUUUGGCAUAGUUUUAUGUUUGCACUGUGAUCUUGCCCCUCUGGACAAACCAGCAUGUCCACUAGUCUCCUAGCCACCCCUAACCCAGGCCUACUAAUCCCCAGCCUCACCCUAAUCCUCUAGCAUGCCCUGGCAUUGCGUCGAACACGUAGCGUGCGUGCUCUGGGCACGCCCAGAGCGCACGUUUUGCACGCGCUCGCAGUCGAGCCGCCGCGUCGCGCCCCUGGCCUUUGCUCGCCCGCAGGGCCGCGCCCCGGCCUCGCCCACUCGCCAGAACCCCCCAAGCCACCCUGGCGCCCUACAGCGCCGCCGUCAGAGCUUCCUUGGCGGCACGCCGGCGUCGGCAGCAGGCCUCUGCCAUGGACGGCGCCGCAAAAGCCACCCGCGCGCGCCAGCUGCCCCCUUGAACAGCUCGAGCUCAUCCACAAGUUCGUCGGCACGCGCUCGUCGCCGCCACGUCGUCCUGCAGCUACAGAACGACGGUUCGCCGUUCUUAUCCCCGGCCGCCACGAGAACCGACCUCGACCGCCUAUAAAAGGAGCCCCCGAGCUUGUCCAAACCCUCAGGCGACCUCAGGCCAUCUCCCUAGUACUCCCAUAGCCUGCAAUUGACCAAGGAAGGCCGUCUUCCCCCUCUCCGGUCAGCUCGGCCGCCGCCACGUUCCAGUCCCGCUCGUCGCAACCAGGACCUCCCCGGUCCAUCCAGCACCGCCAUUCCACUCUCCUAGACCUUGCGGAGCCACCCCACCUCUCAAACUUGAUCGGGAACCACCGUAGCUCAAAGCCCCGAUUGCUCCCAAACCACCGCCCGCCGCGGAGCUCGCCGCCGGUGACCCCCUCCACCCCCGCCAGCCUAUCAACCACUAGAGGACCGCCCCGGGCCAGCGGACGCAUCCCUGCCCUCGGAAUCCCGUGGGGAGCCGCCGUUCGCCGGCGUUGAUCGCCGGAGCUCCGCCUCCGUUCGGCCAGAAGAGAGAAUGGCGCGGCGACUGGUCAAACCUGACCAGUGGGCCCAAGGGACCCACUGUCAGUGACCCACGACCCGACCCGCGCUGGUUUAUGUGAAAGCAUAAACCCAUAAGUGCGUCUCCUCCGUCUCGAAAACGUAUUUCUAUUCGAACCAUUUUCUUUUCUGUUUUAUUUAAAAACAGACUUUGACUGGCUAUAACUUUUUGAAUAUAAGUCCAAAUGACUUGAUUCGUUUUCUGUUGUUUCUCAAAUUCUGUCUAGUUUAUUUUAGUAUUUAUUUAAAAAAAAUCCAAACAACUUUUUGUACUGUUUUUAAACUAUGCAUUAAUUUGAAUAUUUUCAGAAAUAGGAUUUUGAAGAAGAAGGCAACCUUCAAAAAGUGCACCCCCACUUGCAUACACUUGAAGGUAAGCAUUCUGAACCCGGGAAUAAUAUUUUUGGGUGUUGUUUGAUACGGCUACAACACCUCCUUGACAUGGAGCAUUCGUUAUUUUAUGUGGCGAUACAAUCAUACACAUGAGUGCAUAAUAGAGAUUCUUUGCUGUUAGAAAUGGAUAUGCUGGUGAUACUAAUCAUCCUCGUAAGCUUUUCAUGCAUACCGGAAGGAAGCCGGGAAAAUCUCUGUCUUGGGUAGACACGAGCUUGUCCCUAGUUCCUCGUCGAGACGAGUGUGUCCGGUAUGGCAUGAUGAGGUAUGAUGAGUGGUGAUUCUGUCUGUUAGUUGAAAUAUAUUUGUCAUGCUAAUCAUACAGGGAACACUUGGACCUCCUGAGUCGGCCGUUGAUCGAGUCUUGUUCCAGUAACCCCCAUACUUGUUUCGUACUACCACUUGUCCCUGCCGCAGGUAGGGUACGGUUCAGUAAGUUGUCAACCCCUCCAAGCACACACCGUACAGAGAGGCCAUGGUGGAAGAUACCGGAGGCAUCCGGUAGGCAUGCCACCUGGUCCGGGGCAUGGGUGUUUCCGGUUGUAGCCGAGGGGAGUGGCUUCCCUAGUUUGCGCGCGGUAUAAAUUUUGUGAUCCCAUGCUAAUCGAGGUUGUAGCCUCCCCACUUAGAGUUUUGCUUGACAGGUGUCGUGGGUGAUUCCAGACACCGGUAAGUAGGCUGGUGUGUGCGGUCAGGUGUGUUUUCAACUAAAAGACCGUAGACGAAAUUAGUCCCAAUGGACUAAAGAAAUCCGUUACUCGUGGGUAAAGAGUACACACUCUGCAGAGGUUAAAUCUAUUCGGAUAGCUGUGUCCAUGGGUAAGGACUAUAGUCUGAGAUGGGUCUAGUGUCGGUCUUCGGAGGAAAAACUGCUAAACCAGAACAUUGAUUAUGACCUAUGACAUAUGAGUAUUAUGAUUAUUAUUAUUGUGGACUAAUCAUUUACAUUAUUUGAAUUAUUGAGUAUGCCUGGGACGGUUCUACCUCCUAGAUAUUCACUGUGAUCAUUCUCUUAUAAGCCCUUUAUGUGGCGUCGCUCAGACGCCCGACUGUGGCAUGCUUGUUAUUUCUUUUAUUUAUAAGCCCUUUAUGUGGUGUCGCAUAGACGCCCGACUGUGGCAUGCUUGUUAUUUCUUUUAUUUAUAAGCCCUUUAUGAGGUGUCGCAUAGACGCCCGACAGUGGCAUGCUUGUUAUUUCUUUUAUUUAUAAGCCCUUUAUGUGGUGUCGCUCAGACGCCCGACUGUGGCAUGCUUGUUAUUUAUAUUAUUUAUAAGCCCUUUAUGAGGUGUCGCAUAGACGCCCGACUGUGGCAUGCUUGUUAUUUCUUUUAUUUAUAAGCCCUUUAUGUGGUGUCGCUCAGACGCCUGACUGAGGCAUGAUUUAUCUUAUUAUCCUUCCGAGGCGUCGCUUCAGACACUCGAUCGGUGCAUUCUAUUUCCACUCCCGUAUUGCAUAUUCAUAAUUUAUAUGAACAACCUGCAUGCGUGCAUCAUGGAUUUUGUUUAUUUCGUGACUGACGUUAUGAUCAUAGAAUAUUUCGGAGCAUGAUUAUCCCUUGUUAUAUUAUAC
rnacentral:lncRNA from 1 species